CAGUAGAGACUCCUACGGGAGGCAGCAGUAGGGAAUCUUCCGCAAUGGGCGAAAGCCUGACGGAGCAACGCCGCGUGAGUGAUGAAGGUCUUCGGAUCGUAAAACUCUGUUAUUAGGGAAGAACAAAUGUGUAAGUAACUAUGCACGUCUUGACGGUACCUAAUCAGAAAGCCACGGCUAACUACGUGCCAGCAGCCGCGGUAAUACGUAGGUGGCAAGCGUUAUCCGGAAUUAUUGGGCGUAAAGCGCGCGUAGGCGGUUUUUUAAG
rnacentral:rRNA from 1 species